CCUGACUUAAACCGUACAGCUUCUCUCUGCACUCCUCAAUGCAAACACAGAUGUUGUGUUUCAGUCUCUCUCCAUCAGCCCCGCGCACUGACGCCAUGAGGAGGACGUUUCAGGUGUUCAGUGCUAAGACCAGAAUGGGGUGACCCACUGCUAAGAGUUCAAGCUAUAUCCAUGCUCAGAAGCAACGAGGCGGUUCACUGGUCAUUUAGGACAGCAAAUGAAAUGUCUGUAUUUUCACUGUAAUUAUUACAUCCCAGAGCUCCAAUCACAACCGCUGUAAAGAAAGCAGAGUUGGUAAGUUUCUUUUCAAUGCACCAUUUCAGAUUUAACCACUUUGAAUGACUUUGUUUACAGGUUGUAUUAUUUAGAAA